CCUACGGGAGGCAGCAGUAGGGAAUCUUCCACAAUGGGCGAAAGCCUGAUGGAGCAACGCCGCGUGGGUGAAGAAGGUCCUCUGAUCGUUAAACCCUGUUUUUAGAGAAGAAAGUGCGUGAGAGUAACUGUUCACGUUUCGACGGUAUCUAACAAGAAAGCCACGGAUAAUUACGUGCCAGCAGCUGCGGUAAGACGUAGGUGGCAUGCGUUAUCCGGUUUUAUUGGGCGUAAAGGGAAGGAAGGCGGUCCUUUAAGUCUGAUGUGAAAGUCUUCGGCUUAACCGGAGUAGUGCAUUGGAAACUGGGAGACUUGAGUGCAGAAGAGGAGAGUGGAACU
rnacentral:rRNA from 1 species